rnacentral:lncRNA from 1 species
UUGGAGUAAAUAUUUGAAAGUAAACUUUUAAAUUUCUCUUGCUAACAUCAAGCAAGGAAGCAGUACAUGUUAUUAAAGUAAAAAAAUCACACUGUGGAUUUUAUAAUAAUUUCUUAUAUUCCACAGGAGAGAAUAUUUGGCUGACCCAUUCCCUGCAAAUAAUUAAAAGGAGUAUGAUUUCACUUCUAAUUGGAUUUCUAAGGUCCUACCCUGCCCCCAAGCAACUCAGAGGACUUGGGGAAAGGUGAUUCCACCUCCAUCUCCAGGACUGGGUCCUGAUUUGUCUAGCCCAGUGAUUGACUUAUGGACUUAUGCUAGGCUUUGUCUAAUCAGCAUAAACAUGCUCCUGAGACACUUUAAACCCAAUUGUGGGUAUGGAAUCUGAGUUAUAUGGUUCAAAAUAAAAGGAAAGAUUUAUUUCUUUCGCCAUUCUGGAAGGGAGGAAGAUUUCUCCUUUGAAAGUAAAUACAGAUGGAUAUUGUUUCCAUAGUUAAUGGCAGUUUUCUUGAUCAUGAACUCCUUAUUACCAAAUUCAGACUUAAAUUGAAGAAAGUA